rnacentral:rRNA from 1 species
AUACGAAGGUCCCAAGCGUUAUUCGGAAUCACUGGGCGUAAAGAGUACGUAGGCGGUUUGGUAAGUCAGGUGUGAAAUCCCGAAGCUCAACUUCGGAACUGCAUCCGAUACUGCCAGACUAGAGUAAUGGAGAGGCAGGUGGAAUUCUCGGUGUAGCAGUGAAAUGCGUGGAUCUCGAGAGGAAGACCAAUGGCGAAGGCAGCCUGCUGGACAUUUACUGACGCUGAGGUACGAAGGCUAGGGGAGCGAAAGGGAUUAGAUACCCCAGUAGUCC